rnacentral:lncRNA from 1 species
AUAGAGAGAAAAGUAGAGAGAGGAGUAUUCUUAUUAAUACUUUUGGGAUAAUUUACAAUGGGGUAAGACCCCUCUAUUUAUAGUAAGAUAAAAGACUUAGCCUUGAAGUAAGACUCUUCUUAUAAGAUAGACAUUCACCUUAAAUAGAGUUCUAUUUAUAACAAAAAUCAAGAUUUUUUGAAAAGCUUGAAUUUUUACUUUGUAAUAUUAAUAUGUCCAAAAGGGUAUGUGAAAAAGCAGGUUUUGCGUUAAAAGAAGUUGUACUUUUUAAUAAAGAUGUUUUUGUG